rnacentral:misc_RNA from 1 species
AAACUUUCCUUCCAUCUUUCCUCGCUCUGCUCUUCGCAUUCUUCACCACCAUGGCUUCCUCCUCCGCCGUCGUCUUCUUCGUCCUCUUAGCUUUGAUCGCCAGCUCUCUUGGCCAAGCUCCGGGCGCCGCACCGGCCUCUUCUCCAACCAAGUCGCCGCCAUCCUCCUCUCCGAAAUCGGCUCCUCCGCCUACAGUGGCGACUCCUCCGCCUACAGUGGCGACUCCUCCAGCUUCGACUCCGUCUUCAUCCCUUGCUCCAUCAGGCGCGGCUCCCUCUCCUUCCACCGGAACUUCAUCACCAGUUUUGGCGCCGGCUACUUCUCCACCGGCUCCACCUACUGCUCCUUCGGAGGCACCAGUGAUCACUUCAGGUCCAACUCCUUCGAUCUCAACUCCUCCAGCACAGGCUCCGUCGCCGACCUCAACACCUGGCAAUGGCGCUGUCGUGAACAGAAUCGCCGUCUCUGGAUCUAUCAUCGCGGCUGUAAUUUCCUCCGCUCUACUACUUUAAAUGCGAUCAGUCUGUCUUCACUCUUCGCUCUCCUCUGGAGACGCAGAUCUUAGGGUUUCAUUGUCGGCAUUAGUCG